rnacentral:rRNA from 1 species
UACCAGCUCUCCGAGUGGUGUGGAUGUUUAUUGGGCCUAAAGCAUCCGUAGCUGGCUGGACAAGUCCCCUGUUAAAUCCACCGAUUUAAUCGUUGGUGUGCGGGGGAUACUGUUCGGCUAGGGGACGGGAGAGGCAGACGGUAUUUUCGGGGUAGGGGUGAAACCCUAUAAUCCCGGGAAGACCACCAGUGGCGAAGGCUGUCUGCUAGAACGCGCCCGACGGUGAGGGAUGAAAGCUGGGGGAGCGAACCGGAUUAGAUACCCGGGUAGUCCCAGCUGUAAACGAUGCAGGCUAGGUGUUUGGACGGCCACGUGCCGUUCUAGUGCCGCAGGGAAGCCGUUAAGCCUGCCGCCUGGGGAGUACGGCCGCAAGGCUGAAACUUAAAGGAAUUGGCGGGGGAGCACCACAAGGGGUGAAGCUUGCGGUUU